rnacentral:rRNA from 1 species
CACGUAGGAGGCGAGCGUUGUCCGGAAUCAUUGGGCGUAAAGAGCGCGCAGGCGGCUUGGCAAGUCGGGUGUGAAAUCCCGGGGCUCAACCCCGGGACUGCAUUCGAUACUGUCAGGCUAGAGGUAGGUAGGGGAGAUCGGAAUUCCUGGUGUAGCGGUGAAAUGCGCAGAUAUCAGGAGGAACACCGAUGGCGAAAGCAGCUCUCUGGGACGGUACUGACGCUGAGGCGCGAAAGCGUGGGGAGCGAACAGG